rnacentral:lncRNA from 1 species
AUACACACACCAGACACAGACCACGCACAUACCACACACACAGACACCACACACAUGCACCACACGCACCACACCACACACACACACAUACACACACACGAGCAGAGCAAGGGACAGCCAUGUUGUGUGAUCUGGGAGGGUGGCUCAUCCUCUCUGAGUUGUUUAUAAACCGGGCGGGACCCAGGCCUGCCAAUCAAAGGCCUGAUCUGAAUGCUCUUAUUGGUUCAGAGAUGGACAUGUGACCCUCUCUUGGCCAAUCAGAGGCUUUCCUGCUGGAAGGGCUGCUGGAAGCCAUCUUCGCACGGUUCUUCCCUUGGCUUUAGAGCCCCGAAGCGCUCUUUGACUUGAGCUGCUUUGCAUUCUCUCUGUCCUGCCAUCGAGAAAGUUCUGAGCGGCUCAGAAGUAAUACUGACACUAAAAUGAGAGAAUGGAGCUGGGCGCAGUGGUUCACGCCUGUAAUCCCUGCACUUUGGGAGGCCGAGGCAGGCAAAUCACCUGAGGUCAGGAGUUCCAGACCGGCUGGGCAACAUGGUGAAACCCUGUCUCUACUAAAAAUAUGAAAAAAAGUUAGCCAGGCGUCCGCGUGCCUGUAAUUCCAGCUACUCAGGAGACUGAGGCAGGAGAAUCGCUUGAACCUGGGAGGCAGAGGUUGCAGUGAGCCGAGAUCACGCCACUGCACUCCAGCCUGGGCGAUAAGAGUGAAACUCUGUCUCAAAAUAAAUAAAUAAAUAAAUAAAUAAAUAAUCUUAAAAAAAAUAAAAAGAAAACUAGAGAAUGAUGACUUCUGUUUACCAUGUGCCUGGUUUCCUGUCCUGUCUGUGAUCCUGUUGCUGUUUGCUGUCAACUGUUCCUGCUUCAGUGAUAUUAGAAGGGUUCAAGGAGAAUGUGGGUCCCCUCCUUGCCUGCUCUGGGCCUUCCCCUGUUUCUGGCCUGUUUCAUCUCCACCCCCGUUGGAUCUGAGCUCCUUGAGGGUGGCCCCUACACCCUGCAGUGCUGAGCAUUGGGAGGUGUGAGGGUUGCUGAAGGCUGGGGGUUGGUGCUUUUCUUCAUUCAGCAGUCAUCAUUUAUUGAGCACCCACUGUUUGCCAGCUCCUUGGCUAAGCAUUUCAAGCCCUGUUCCAUGGGCUCAGUCUUCCAGGGGCUGGCCGCUAACUACGCAUCGAUUGAUUUCCAGAAGGACAGAAGCACAUAGCAGGGCCUGGUCUCCACUGGGGGUGCCAGGAGCUG